AUUUUUUAUAACUCUCCACCAGCACUCAGCAGAUAAGUUAAAGGAACAGAGCAGGCCAUGGUGUAUGAUAAUUUGUGUUCCAGUUUGAGGUGUGUGCUUAUGCUGGUAGUGGUGUGAACAAAAUUGGAUUGAGAAAAGGGUUAUUAAGAAUAACAGUAUGGUUAUAUUUGGAUUCAUGUUAGUGGUAUGAGGUGUGUAGUUGAAAAUGAAAC